rnacentral:rRNA from 1 species
CGUCUAUAUACGUAUAGCAUAUCAAUAAGCGGAGGAAAAGAAACUAACAAGGAUUCCCUUAGUAACGGCGAGUGAAGCGGGAAGAGCUCAAAUUUGAAAUCUUCAAGGUUCUACCUUGACGAAUUGUAGUUUAAAGAAGUGUUUUCUGUUGGAGUUUUGGUAAAAGUUCUUUGGAAUAGGACAUCAUAGAGGGUGAGAAUCCCGUAUUUGACCAUUAUCUUCCAACUUUGUGAUACACUUUCAAAGAGUCGGAUUGUUUGGGAAUGCAGUCCAAAAUGGGUGGUAAAUUUCAUCUAAAGCUAAAUAUUGGCGAGAGACCGAUAGCGAACAAGUACCGUGAGGGAAAGAUGAAAAGAACUUUGAAAAGAGAGUUAAACAGUACGUGAAAUUGUCAAAAGGGAAGCGUUUGACACCAGUGUUGUUUUUCCGAAAAUCAAUUACUAAUGUUUGGAUGUUAAGUAGUUAUGACUUCAUCGGCUUUGCUUCGUUUCUUACGACUUUCGUGAAUGCACUUUUCGGUUAACAAGUCAACAUCAAUUUCUUUUGUUGUAAAAGGGUAUGAGGAAGGUGGCUUUCUUUUCGGAGAAAGUGUUUAUAGCCUUGUGCCUCUGCAAUCGGAGAGAUUGAGGUCUGCAGCGUAGAUCCUUCGGGGUUAGAUACGUUUGUGCUAAGUUAUAGCUUUUCAUAGACAACUUGUUGACUAUGUUUAGUCUUGUAGCUUACUCGCUGACGCUAUUUUACCUACGCUUAGGAUGUUGACACACGCGCGUGCUCG